GGCGAACGGGUGAGUAACACGUGGGUAAUCUGCCCUGCACUCUGGGAUAAGCCUGGGAAACUGGGUCUAAUACUGGAUAUGAGCCAUUUUUAGUGUGAUGGUUGGAAAGUUUUUUCGGUGUAGGAUGAGCUCGCGGCCUAUCAGCUUGUUGGUGGGGUAAUGGCCUACCAAGGCGGCGACGGGUAGCCGACCUGAGAGGGUGGACGGCCACAUUGGGACUGAGAUACGGCCCAG
rnacentral:rRNA from 1 species